rnacentral:misc_RNA from 1 species
UAUCCGUAGGUGAACCUGCGGAAGGAUCAUUCAUAAUAAGUGUUUUAUGGCACUUUUUUAAAUCCAUAUCCACCUUGUGUGCAAUGUCAGGGUUGAUUUUUCUCUCGAGAGGAUCAACCCCAAACAUCAACUAUAUCUCAACUCUUUGUCUGAAAAAUAUUAUGAAUAAAACAAUUCAAAAUACAACUUUCAACAACGGAUCUCUUGGCUCUC